UCAAAGAUUAAGCCAUGCAUGUCUCAGUACAAACAAAACAAAAGUGAAACCGCGAAUGGCUCAUUAAAUCAGCUAUGAUUCAUUGGAUCUGUACACCCACGUUUUCCUUGGAUAACUGUGGUAAUUCUAGAGCUAAUACAUGCCCAUAUAGCCCCCUGACCUGACGGAAAGGGAGCGAUUAUUAGUAUCAAAAACGAUGACAGACUUUAAUGUUAAAUGUCUGUAAAAAAAUCAAUUGGUGACUCUAAAUAAUUUCGAGCUGAGCGCACGGUCUUUGCACUGGUGCCGUUUCUUUCAAGUGUCUGCCUUAUCAGCUCUCGAUUGUAGAUUAUGUGCCUACAAUGGCUAUAACGGGUAACGGGGAAUCAGGGUUCGAUUCCGGAGAGGGAGCCUGAGAAACAGCUACCACAUCCAAGGAAGGCAGCAGGCACGCAAAUUACCCACUCCCGGCAUGGGGAGGUAGUGACGAAAAAUAAUGAUGUGAGACUCAUCCGAGGCCUCGCAAUCAGAAUGAGUACACUUUAAAUCCUUUUGCGAGGAUCCAUUGGAGGGCAAGUCUGGUGCCAGCAGCCGCGGUAAUUCCAGCUCCAAUAGCAUAUAUUAAAGCUGUUGCGGUUAAAAAGCUCAUAGUUGUAUUACAGUUGUGGACUGAUGGUUCUUCACCUUAAUUGGUGUUUACUGUCACGCUCCUAAGCUGCUCAUACAACCAAAAAGUUGUUGGGCUCCACUAGCUCGCACGGGAUGCUCUUAACCGAGUGUCCCCAGUGGCUGGUAUGUUUACUUUGAAAAAAUUAGAGUGCUCAGAGCAGGCUACUUGUAUUGCCUGAAUGACUAUGCAUGGAAUAAUGGAAUAGGACCUCGGUUCUAUUUUGUCGGUUUUCUCUGGAAUCCGAGGUAAUGAUUAAAAGAGACAAAAGGGGGCAUUUGUACUGUGACGCUAGAGGUGAAAUUCUUGGACCGUCACAAGACAAACAACUGCGAAAGCAUUUGCCAAGGAUGUUUUCAUUAAUCAAGAACGAAAGUUAGAGGUUCGAAGGCGAUCAGAUACCGCCCUAGUUCUAACCAUAAACGAUGCUAACCAGCAAUCCGCCGGCGUUAUUCCCAUGACCCGGCGGGCAGCUUCCGGGAAACCAAAGUCUUUGAGCUCUGGGGGAAGUAUGGUUGCAAAGCUGAAACUUAAAGGAAUUGACGGAAGGGCACCACCAGGAGUGGAGCCUGCGGCUUAAUUUGACUCAACACGGGGAACCUCACCAGGCCCAGACACUGGAAGGAUUGACAGAUUGAGAGCUCUUUCUUGAUUCAGUGGGUGGUGGUGCAUGGCCGUUCUUAGUUGGU
rnacentral:rRNA from 1 species